ACAUAGCAAGUCGAGCGAGGAGAGUCCUUCGGGAUGAUCCUAGCGGCGACGGGUGAGUAACACGUGGGCAACCUGCCUCAUAGAGAGGAAUAGCCUUCCGAAAGGGAGAUUAAUACCUCAUAACAUUGCAGUUUCGCAUGGAACAGCAAUUAAAGGAGUAAUCCGCUAUGAGAUGGGCCCGCGGCGCAUUAGCUAGUUGGUGAGGUAACGGCUCACCAAGGCGACGAUGCGUAGCCGACCUGAGAGGGUGAUCGGCCACAUUGGGACUGAGACACGGCCCAGACUCCUACGGGAGGCAGCAGUGGGGAAUAUUGCACAAUGGGGGAAACCCUGAUGCAGCCAACGCCGCGUGAGUGAUGACGGCCUUCGGGUUGUAAAGCUCUGUCUUCAGGGACGAUAAUGACGGUACCUGAGGAGGAAGCCACGGCUAACUACGUGCCAGCAGCAGC
rnacentral:rRNA from 1 species